rnacentral:rRNA from 1 species
AGUGAACGCUGGCGGUAGGCCUAACACAUGCAAGUCGAACGGCAGCACAUUAAGAGCUUGCUCUUACGGGUGGCGAGUGGCGGACGGGUGAGGAAUACAUCGGAAUCUACUUUUUCGUGGGGGAUAACGUAGGGAAACUUACGCUAAUACCGCAUACGACCUACGGGUGAAAGCAGGGGAUCUUCGGACCUUGCGCGAUUGAAUGGGCCGAUGUCGGAUUAGCUAGUUGGCGGGGUAAAGGCCCACCAAGGCGACGAUCCGUAGCUGGUCUGAGAGGAUGAUCAGCCACACUGGAACUGAGACACGGUCCAGACUCCUACGGGAGGCAGCAGUGGGGAAUAUUGGACAAUGGGCGCAAGCCUGAUCCAGCCAUACCGCGUGGGUGAAGAAGGCCUUCGGGUUGUAAAGCCCUUUUGUUGGGAAAGAAAAGCAGCAGGUUAAUACCCCGCUGUUCUGACGGUACCCAAAGAAUAAGCACCGGCUAACUUCGUG